GACGAACCGUGCGAACGUUAUUCGGAAUCACUGGGCUUAAAGCGCGUGUAGGCGGGACGGCACGUCGGUCGCUGAAAGCCCCCGGCUCAACCGGGGAACGGGCGCCGAUACGACCGCCCUCGAGGAACGUAGGGGGACCGUGGAACUUCCGGUGGAGCGGUGAAAUGCGUUGAGAUCGGAAGGAACGCCCGUGGCGAAAGCGAGGUCCUGGACGUUUUACUGACGCUGAGACGCGAAAGCCAGGGGAGCGAACGGG
rnacentral:rRNA from 1 species